rnacentral:rRNA from 1 species
GGGUAAGUUCCGACCCGCACGAAAGGCGUAACGAUUUGGGCACUGUCUCAACGAGAGACUCGGUGAAAUCAUAGUACCUGUGAAGAUGCAGGUUACCCGCGACAGGACGGAAAGACCCCGUGGAGCUUUACUGUAGCCUGAUAUUGAAAUUCGGCACAGCUUGUACAGGAUAGGUAGGAGCCUUUGAAACGUGAGCGCUAGCUUACGUGGAGGCGCUGGUGGGAUACUACCCUAGCUGUGUUGGCUUUCUAACCCGCACCACUUAUCGUGGUGGGAGACAGUGUCAGGCGGGCAGUUUGACUGGGGCGGUCGCCUCCUAAAAGGUAACGGAGGCGCUCAAAGGUUCCCUCAGAAUGGUUGGAAAUCAUUCAUAGAGUGUAAAGGCAUAAGGGAGCUUGACUGCGAGACCUACAAGUCGAGCAGGGUCGAAAGACGGACUUAGUGAUCCGGUGGUUCCGCAUGGAAGGGCCAUCGCUCAACGGAUAAAAGCUACCCCGGGGAUAACAGGCUUAUCUCCCCCAAGAGUUCACAUCGACGGGGAGGUUUGGCACCUCGAUGUCGGCUCAUCGCAUCCUGGGGCUGUAGUCGGUCCCAAGGGUUGGGCUGUUCGCCCAUUAAAGCGGUACGCGAGCUGGGUUCAGAACGUCGUGAGACAGUUCGGUCCCUAUCCGUCGUGGGCGUAGGAAAUUUGAGAGGAGCUGUCCUUAGUACGAGAGGACCGGGAUGGACAUACCUCUGGUGUACCAGUUGUCGUGCCAACGGCAUAGCUGGGUAGCUAUGUGUGGACGGGAUAAGUGCUGAAAGCAUCUAAGCAUGAAGCCCCCCUCAAGAUGAGAUUUCCCAACUUCGGUUAUAAGAUCCCUCAAAGAUGAU